rnacentral:piRNA from 1 species
UUCUAAAAUAUGAAAGCGGCUAGACAACA